AUCCCAGACUAGUGGAGCUGUUGCACACAUGGCUAAGGGACGUAGUCAUUGUCACCAUCCGUCCUCUCACGGCUUCUGUCCUGAACUCCACACCUCUGCAGUCUGCAGGCUUUCUGCCGGAGGUUUCUUCCUGUUAAAAGGGAGUUUUUCCUUCCCACUGUCGCCACAGUGCUUGCUCAUAGGGGGUCAUAUGAUUGUUGGGUCUACCUUACAAUAUAAAGCGCCUUGAGGCGACUGUUGCUGUGAUUUGGCGGCAUAUAAAUAAAAUUGAAUUGAAUCACAUUAUUAGCACAAACAGAGCAGGCUGGUAAAUAUCAAUGAAAUCCUAAAAGUGCUAAAAAGCUGAAGCGAUUGUGGCAGGAUGAAUGUUAUCCCUCGGUCCAACCCACUUUCAGCCUGGCGCAUUAGGGGGCGCUAGUAUAAAUAGUGGCCAUUUGAGUGUCCCUGGAUCGCUUACCUGUGAUCUCCUUUUUGGUCACCUGACUUCCCUUUGGUGUUGCAGAGAUUAUUUGCGGGUUACUCUUCUGAAGCCUCCAUCGCGGCUGAUGCGGAGCGCCGACGUGGAGGAGACUAGGGUGCCUUGGUGGUGGGAUCCUUUGCGUGUACACACCUGCCUUGUUUAGUUUAUUAGUGUGAGUGUGUGAUAGUGUGCUGCACUUGUGUCUUGGUGUGUUUUCUUUUAGUUUGUGUGUGGCAUCCCUGCCCCUCCACUGGUAAGCCUCAGCUCUGAAUACCUUUUUAAGCAUAUUUGUACAUGGAUAUUUAUGAUUGUGCUUUUAUAUGGUGUUUUAAAUAAUUAUUAAUAAAUUGUCAACUUGUUUAUCAUUGAACCUCGUCUCUGUACUGAGUAUAGCGAACCUAAGUGCCUUUUUGGUGAUUCAGUGUUACUUCCAGUAUUCUCUGGGUGAAAUUCCCAGGGUGGCGUUGUCUUUUUAAAACUGUGAAGAGUAUUUACUUUAUUUCCACCUCGUGCUGCCACACAUAUCUCUAUGUAGAAAAAAAGUUUGGAAAAAAAUCUAUAAUUGUAAUAAAUGAACCUUUAAUUUUCAAAGUGUGCUUCUCAGCUAGCAGCAUUACCAAGCCAGCUGUCGACACACAACCACAAUGUAAUUACAAGGAUUGCAUCAUAUAGGUCACUAGCAAGUGACUUGGUCUUAAGUGAUUUGGGUUCAUCAAGAUGUUCAUCACAAACCUCUGCCGGCACAUGACAAGCUAAGAUGUGGCUGAGAAUUCAGCAGGAAAACCUUGGAAUUCCAGUGCAGACACAAGAAACUCUUCUGUGGUGGUCUGGAAUCAUAAAGAACACCACACAUCUGCUUUUAAAAAUGCAAUUAAGAAAGCAAAUCACAAAGCAAGAACACUAUCGUAUCCAGAACUGCAGCAAAGCGUACGACUGUUAAAUGUGGAUGAUGAAACAUUAGGCUUCCCUCUUCUAAUUCCCUGUCAGUAAACAAUUUAGUGAUGGAUCAACAUUUAGAUUUACUAAGUCUCACAGACACUGGGCUACAGCAGGAUAAUUAUGUCGGUUUAAAUGAGUUAUACUAACUCAGAAUCGUUGAAGCAAAGGUCGGGGAGGAGGAGCAGCACUCUUCAAUUUCAGCUUAUUAAUCAACCACAGAGUUUUAACUCAUUUGAAAGCCUGACUCUUUGGCUUGUCCAGUUUUAUUGUCGUUAUUUAUUGUUACCUGGCUCUUACUCAGAGUUACUGUCUCUGUCUCUCUUAAAGAAAU
rnacentral:lncRNA from 1 species